rnacentral:lncRNA from 1 species
CCCAAUCAAGCCCUCACCUGAGGGGUCCAUAUGGAACACUAUUAAGAAGAUGGCGAAGUCCAGGAAAGAGCAGUUGCACUUCCAGGGGUUUCCACCUGCAAGCCGGUAUUUCUGAGGUCCAGGUACCUCAAAGAGGUGGUGUUGGCAAAUACAGGAGAACUGAACAGAAAUUGAAACGCGAGGCUCAAUGCCCUGCCGCCCAGCUUGGUGGCUCUGUCGCUCGCUCCCAGACUGCUGCUGGAAGCUUGCCCACUUGGCAGCUUUGAAAGGUCUCACCCUUUCCCUGCGUUUGCAAGUGAAGGG